UCCCUGGUGGCCCAGUGGUUAGGGCUCUGCACUUCGACUACAGGGGGCCCAGGUUCGACCCCUGACUGGGGAA